GAUUAACAGGAGAAGACUGUAAUAGCUACGGAUAAUUUAAAACUCGGCUUGUAUAGUGGAAAUUAGAGAUGAAGUGUCAACUGUUCACCAAUGCCGCACUAGUCAGUUUCAUUUUUCUGUUUGCUGUUCUACUUCAACAAAGCAUCUCCCAACCUAUUGGUACGCAAGAUGGAGACGCCGAUCUGAUGUUCUAUACAAAAAGAGAAUAUUUGCAUCUAGGAUCAUGAACAAAUGGCGAAAUCAACUCAGAGAACAACGACUUCCUAGAACAAAAAAACCUUGUGGACCACCUGGCUCGUGGGCGGUGUGUUGACUUUAACAAUAUUAUGCAUGUAAUUAAAGUUUUCAAAGUUUCUUGAGAAAACUAUCGACAUGUAAAAAUCACUAAACCAGCUAGCUCCUUUAUGACGAUUAGGUUAUGUAAAUGCUACAGAGAAAUGAAUUUUCCCAAACUAAAUGCAUAGAUAAAAAUAAAAUCAUAUCAGUAGUUUA